GCGCCCGUGGCCCAGCGGCUAAGGCUAUCGCCUGCAGAGCGAUCAUUCAAGGGUUCGAGCGGCAAGCAAUCUAUGCAAGUUGGGCGGACAUGAAGUCCACCAUGAAAAUUAGAUUGAAGUUAUGAAAAUCCCUUCGGGCGCU
rnacentral:tRNA from 1 species